rnacentral:rRNA from 1 species
UUGACCUCGGAUCAGGUAGGAAUACCCGCUGAACUUANGCA